rnacentral:rRNA from 1 species
AUGAACGCUAGCGACAGGCUUAACACAUGCAAGUCGAGGGGCAGCACAAGGAGCAAUCUGAGGUGGCGACCGGCGCACGGGUGAGUAACACGUAUGCAACCUGCCUGUAAGCGGGGAAUAACCCGUUGAAAGACGGACUAAUACCGCAUAAUACUAAAUUACUGCAUGGUAAUUUAUUUAAACAUUUAUGGCUUACAGAUGGGCAUGCGCAUGAUUAGCUAGUUGGAGAGGUAACGGCUCCCCAAGGCAACGAUCAUUAGGGGUUCUGAGAGGAAGGUCCCCCACACUGGUACUGAGACACGGACCAGACUCCUACGGGAGGCAGCAGUGAGGAAUAUUGGUCAAUGGACGAGAGUCUGAACCAGCCAAGUCGCGUGCAGGAAGAAUGUCCUAUUGGAUUGUAAACUGCUUUUGCAGGGGAAUAAAGUGCAUCACGUGUGAUGUUUUGUAUGUACUCUGCGAAUAAGGAUCGGCUAACUCCGUGCCAGCAGCUGC